UAUGAUGAAUUAAAUGGCCGCAGUAUUUUGACUGUGCAAAGGUAGCAUAAUCAUUAGUUUCUUAAUUAGAAGCUGGAAUGAAUGGUUUGAUGAGAAAUUAACUGUCUCAUUACUAAUGUUUUAGAAUUUAAAUUUUGAGUGAAAAUGCUUAAAUUUAUUAUGAGGACGAGAAGACCCUAUAGAGUUUUAUUAAUAAUUGUUUUAUUUUGGUUUGGAUUAUAAAUUGGUUUUAAUUGGUUAUUAAUUUUGUUGGGGUGAUGUGAAAAUUAGAUAAACUUUUUAUUUUAUUUUACAAUAAUAGUUGAAUUGAUGAUCCUAUGUAUAUAGAUUAUAAGAUUAAGUUACCUUAGGGAUAACAGCGUAAUUUUUUUUGAAAGUUCUUAUUGGAAAAAAAGUUUGCGACCUCGAUGUUGGAUUAAAAUUUAUUUUUGGUGUAGUAGCUAAAAUAUUA
rnacentral:rRNA from 1 species